rnacentral:rRNA from 1 species
GUCCUAGCAGUAAACGGUGCACGUUUGGUGUAGGAGGAUUCGACCCCUCCUGUGCCGGAGCUAACGCGUUAAACGUGCCGCCUGGGAAGUACGGUCGCAAGAUUAAAACUCAAAGAAAUUGACGGGGCCCGCACAAGCGGUGGAGUAUGUGGCUUAAUUCGAUGCAACGCGAAGAACCUUACCAGGGUUUGACAUGUAUCGUGUCGGCGAUGAAAGUCGCCUAGCUAUAGCAAUAUAGCGCUUUACACAGGUGCUGCAUGGCUGUCGU